rnacentral:lncRNA from 1 species
UUCCUUUCAGCCCUUAGCUUUAAAAAUGAUUCUAAUACGUUGCAAGUUAUGUUACAACAUUUUUAACUUUUUCUCUUUAUUCUAGGCAAGUAAAGCACUCCAAAGCUGUUAUCUUCAGGACUGUAUUUCCCAGAAAUAACUUUAUCCUGUUGCUUUUAUACAACUUAGUGGGAAACAUCAUUCUGUUCCUCCCAUUGUUGGGUCAUAUCUCUGCCUCUUGGGAAAAACCUUUUGUAAAACAACACAGGUGGAGGACUCAACCCUGGAAUAGUGCCCUGGAGCAGCAUGUUACCUUCCUUCCCUUCGGCAACGAUGGGCUGUUUUAAAACUGUCAAAGUCUCAUUCUCACUUCCAGCUGAGCUAGAAGAGGACAUUUCACAAUGUGCCAGCUGGUGUAUGUCUUGCUUCUACAGCCAUUCCAGAGAGGUGCAAAACUGAGAUAACAGCAGUAUGGAGAUGUUCA